UACGGAGGGUGCGAGCGUUAUCCGGAAUUAUUGGGUUUAAAGGGUGCGUAGGCGGCUUAUUAAGUCAGGGGUGAAAGACGGUGGCUCAACCAUCGCAGUGCCUUUGAUACUGAUGAGCUUGAAUACACUAGAGGUAGGCGGAAUGUGACAAGUAGCGGUGAAAUGCAUAGAUAUGUCACAGAACACCGAUUGCGAAGGCAGCUUACUAUGGUGUCAUUGACGCUGAGGCACGAAAGCGUGGGGAUCAAACAGG
rnacentral:rRNA from 1 species